CAAAUGGACCAAGAAAAUGUGGGGCUUCAAAGUCUGGAAACUGCCUUUCACUGAAUUCCUGCCAGAAGGUUGUGCUUAGAUUCUGCCGAUGGAAAAGCCCCAAGUACAUUUCUCUGCAUUGGAGAAAUUGCUCAUCUGUGGAACGUGACAGCUUCCCAAUGACAAUUCGGCAGCCCUGUAUAGAAGUAGGAGACUGGGAGCAUAAAAAAAAUAAAAAAUAAAAAAGGAAGGGAAAUCUGUAAGAAGAUGUUCUAGAACCAUAAAGGUCCAGGGGUUGAAGGAAAGAGGACAGCAUGUUUUAUGAGCUGGGGAUGCUGCUGACGGCAAAACAUGACCUUCACUCAUUUCUGGAGCUCACUGGCCUUGCAAGUGACCACUGUGCACAGCCUGCCUUUAGUCCUUAGCAUGUAGUGACCAGAGAUCUGGUAGCUCUGCCUAAGCUGAUGUCACCAUCCCAGUCCGGACCCUCUCUGCAGUCUUCGUAGAGAAACAGAAGAUCAGAAUUUAAAGGUGGCUCCUGCGCAUGCCCUCUACUCAGCACAUACAUCUCAGCCCUCCAUGCGCUGCGGAUCCGCUUCCGCCUCUGCAAGGCCUCUUUACCAUAGGUUUCCAUUGGUGACCAUUAUCCUGAGGUUCUGCUUGUGCAUUGACACACCAUUUGGAGGUGUGUAGUGCAUGGUGCACACGUAGAAAGGAGAGGCAGACACACAAUCUAAUAGUGACAUGAGAUGAAUAAAUACUGUAAACCACGAACUAUUCUAUGUCAUUGUAUACUAGAGAGAAUACAGAUUCUUGUCAGAGCAUUGGUCUGAGUGUGGGAUCUUAGCUUCUUUCUCAUCUAGCUAGAGGCCCUUGAAUAAGUAAUUCAAUCUCUGGGAGACUGUGUUUUACCAAGAAAAAAAAUGGUAAUAAAUAAAUGCCUCCCUCUUAUGGUUAUGGAGAUUAU